CAGCUACUCUGCUUGCACAGUGAUGUGUGGGAGCUUAAAGAUGGACCUAGCAGAUAGCACUGGCUGGAAUCCAGAUGGAAGUGAGCAUACCCUACUUUGAUCUUUCUGAUGCUGUAAUUGAAUAUUUCUAGAAGACUGCAGUUGCAUCAUAUGUAGCCUGGAAGAAUGACAAUAAAGUACAAUGAACAUUUGAGAGACAUCUUACGGGAAGUUUUCUCAGGUGAAGACUGCAACCAUCCCUUCACCCAAGGAACAUCAAAAUUGCAACAAUCAAGUCUCAUGGCUGGAUCCAGGGGUGGUGACUAUACGCCUUUCUGCUCUUUUUUUGUUUCUUUUAUCUUAUGCCUUUUCUUAAAUGCUAUUUUUAUGCUUUUAUAUUGCUACUACUAGCAAAACCAGCUACGUUUUGAAAUUUGCCAAGAACCUUAUUCUACCUUAACAUUCUAAAGUUUGCAAGUAAAUGUUUGUUAUUGAACCUCCUGAGAGUUGUUGGUUCUCCUGCAGUCCACCCAGAGUAAAUAAAGCUACCUAAACCCGCCCAAAGGAUCAGAGCAAACAAGUUGGCAGCACUGUGCGGUCUCUUUCUGUUCAUCCACUCAAGAGGUGUGGGAAGAGAGGUUGCCAGUGAAGACUGAGGGGAAAACUUGCAGAGUACCUCAGCCUUCUCCUUGUCUGUUGUUACCAGUUUGCCAGCGUGGCUCAUCAGGCCUGUGCCCAAGAUCUCCAGCUACAUCCACCUUGUGGCAUCCUGAAAUAACCUGGAGGUCAGGAACUCAGUGCACAACAUAAUUCAGUAAAGAGACUGAAGAACUUCUAGCAAAAGUGUUCAAGCUAUGGGUAUAAGAAAAAGCAUCACUGAUUUUUCUGGUAACCAGCUACUCAAUGGAAAAAUGAAGAGAAGCAGCUUUCCUGGCUGAGUACAGAGAAUUUGGCAUUUGGAGUUUGGCACCUGUAAUCAGUCAAAGCCUGGCAGGGAUAGAACUGCCUGAAUGAGUCCUAGGCAUAGAACAGUGGGUCAGAAUGAGGAACUGCAGAACAUGGGGUUGUGGCACUGUCUCUUUUAGCUUCAGCCUGCCCUCAACCUCUCUUGUGAUGACAGUGGAAGCAUGUGUGAGAACAAUUAUAGGAGUGAAUAUCUGGACAUUCUGCACCCAGGCUCUGCCUCAAACCAGGCAGCAGAAGUAUAGAACACACAUCUAAAAACUGCUUAUACAAAGGUCAGAACAAAUAACUUGCUUGUGUGAAUUUUGAGGCUAAAAAGCAGCCCAGUUGCUAAAAAAAUUAGAGGGGCACAGCAGCCUCCGGUGUGGUUCCCUGCCACAUUUAUUUUUAUUGCAAUGUGUAAAACAGAUUACUUGGUAUGAGGAGUUCAAAGUUGUUUUGUGAGCUCUGUGCAUGUUUUGCAUGUCAACUACAUUAUAGAGACAUUAAGGAGUCCAUAAAAUAUCCAUAGACCAAGAUACUCUAUAUAAGAGUUUAUGUUAUGAUGUGCUCUCCCUAAUUCAGCAGAUUUUAAAACUAUUUGAUGUGGUAUGAAAAUCAAAUCCAUGCACACAAAGGAAGCAACAAACCAAUGUGUGUUUCCGAAAUGAAAUUAGCAUAAAAUUACAGUCUUGUCACAAAAAUCUACUGAAGCUUUCGUCUCCUGGACCCAGCUGCUUGAGUCACUUCACUGAUGAAGAAAAGAGAUAAUGCCCAAGAGGGAUAUUGUCCCUUCAUCUUCUGAUGUUGGGAGAGAAAGUAACAAGGAAAACUCCUCCAACAUGUCAGCAAGACUGCUGGGCCAGGAUAGUGGCAAAACUGAGUUUGAGAUGCUCUAUGAAAUCUGAUGAAAUUUAGCAGCUUUACAGGUCAAGGAUUUUACCCUUCAACAGCACUGGGAUUGUUCUAAGUUUUCAUGUUGGGAAGCUCCCAAUAGCUGGGAGCUGGGAGCUGAGAGCUGGGAACUGGGAACUGGGGGCUGGGAGCAACACAGAGAUAUCUCCAAACAUAUGCACAUUUUCAUUAGGUUCCUCCUGAUUUAGGAAUUCAUCUGUGCGCCUCUCCUGCUUUGAGGACAGCACAAGUGCAAACAGCGAAAUCAGAAAAUUAACCUUCAGGAGGCAGGAGCUCUCUGGUGAACAGAGUAGAGGUUAAUAACCUUGCUCUGUGAUGCACUUCUUUUGAGAGCUCUGCUCUAGCAGCUUGCUCCUGCAGUGCACAGCGAAGGCAGAAAUUAGGAGGGGUGCCAGGCAGUAAUGGACUGAGCCAUUUGCGUGUCUGUUUUUCCAUUCAGCAGACCCUGAGAGCAGGGCUCAUCAGCAGAGCAGACCAGGAAAUGUUGCAUCAUUGAGAUUAUUGAACUCAUUCUCUACCUAAAAUUACCAGAUUGUCUGAUACAUGCUGCUGAGUAAAAAUUCAAGUAAUAACUGCCUAUGGAUGUAAGUAUACAGAAAGAGAUACGAUUUUUGUUAGAUUUGAUCAAUGGUUUUGGACCAAAUAAAUUUGGUCCAAAUGAAUUUAUUUGAAAUAUCUGGUAUCUGAAAUAGUCCACAAUUAGAGGAGAUACUUGGUUCCCAAAUAUAUUCUGAAAAUAUUCAACUGUCCUUUCCUCCUGAGAAUUUAACUAAUUAAUUUACCUGUUUGCAUCUGAUGCUCCACAGGUACUCAGGGUCUCCACCUGUAAAGAAGGCAGCACUCUCUCCACUCAGUUUAGUUUCUUCAACUGUUAAAACAUUUUCAAAAUCUUCAUGCACGGUAUCUUAUUUGUAAACAGCUGUGCUCCUGAAAGCCCUGUGGUUGUGUCAGAGGUGGAUACAUGCAACCGCUCUAUGGUGACACACACACAUGAGACAGGGACCCCCAGUCCACAAUUUAUUCAGUACUGCCCUCAUCCUUGGGCCUCUGACCCCAAAGCAAGACUGGAGAAGGGGACAAAUUAAUCUAUACCAUUGGUCCUCCAGGAAGUAUCAAAGUGUCCAAAACAUUUGUCCCUGUAUAUUACAAGAAUUACACUGCAAUUAUUGAGUUCCCAUUUCUGCCAGCUACUCAACACACAUAAUUGUGUGCUUUCUCUGAUCAGGCAUUUUCUGCCUUUAAAUUUACUAUGUUGGUUAUGGUUGAAGCAUAGGUUUCACUUUAGCCUAAUUCUUUGACUUCACUCCUUUGUUUAUCCCCCUUUCUCAGUGUUGUACUGGCAGGGAUGUGUACACAGUAACCCAAAAAAUAAGUGCCUCAUCAAAAGAGGGAUAUUUCAACCACAUUUAGGUUUCAUAAAUGCUCCAUUUUAUCAAUUCUUAAUUACAGGCCAAAUAAAACCUCAGAAUCCAUGUCCAAAGUGUUGCAGAUAACAUGCAUCCCCUGACACCAUCUCUUUUUGGGUUGACUCUGCCUACAGAAAUAGAAUGUCAUUUUAUAAAAUAACAUCUGAAUUUCUAGAAAUACCAGUAGCAUUCGGGUGGCAGGGAGAGGCCAUGAUGCAAGUCUGCACUGUCAGGGUGUGGGUCUCAUACCUCCUGACUGUAAAGGACUGAGGAUCUGAAUGUUGGUGCUUGGACUUCAUGAAAGCAAAGGUUGAUGAGCAUUCACUCAUAUGGAGAGCAAUAUAUACUUUUGCAGGUUUUUAUCACAUCUGAACUCAAAAACUCUGUAGUUAUGCUUGUCCAAAAGGUUUAAAAAUAUCUGGUGAAGAAAAUCAUAUGCCUGACUCUCAGAGGUUGCAGCACUUGGCAGAGUAGCAACUCUUGUGUUGUCAAAACUUUCUGCUUGAAGAAGCCAGACAUCCACAGAGAGCGCACCCAGCAGCAAAGGCUGCCCUGUGGGGGAAGAAGGGAGGGGAGUUACUGGAGAAGAAACCCCCUGUUCCUGGCACAGGCAGGUGCUGGAGAUGCAGCAGGAGGAGUGUAUCCCAGUGCCAAACUAAAACUUGAACUGAGGUUUAUUCCAUGUUAUUCAGCAACUGCAUUUGAGUGCUGCCCAUAUGUAUGUUGCUUGGAUAGAGUGGGGUCACACUCAGGGGCCACGGAAAGAAGAGAGCUCAUCUGCCUCUGCAAUCCCUUUUUCCUCUGCUGUUCUGCUGCUGGGGGAAGGAUGGGGAGGCUGGACAAUGCCAAAGGGAUCUGUAGUUUGUUGGUCUUCUACUAAAUGGCAUACAAAAUGGAGCACAUCCUGACAUGGAUUUUCUUUUUUCUGUCCCGCGGUUUAUUUUCCUUCACCGACUGUUACAGCUAUGAAAUCAAUAGCUGAUGACAAGUGGGUUUAAUAUGUAGAGUAAGAGGAAUGUAAGUAGUAGUUAAAAAUUAACAGAUACAGGCUGAGAACAGGAUUUUUUUCAUUUCAGAAACCACCUGGGGCAAUUUGUUUUUCACUAAUAUAUACAAAGAUCUAGAAUGUACCAUGUUAUUAUCCUGAUGAUGAUGAUGAUGAUGAGUACAUGUACAAAUGUUCAUAUUUAGAGCAAAUCCAGUUAUGUCUGAAUGCCUUUCUGCUCUGUUUUAUGCAAUUAUUCUGUUUAGUCAUGAAUCACAGACCUUCUAAUUAAGGCUCAAGGUCAGGCAAAGGGGGAUGGAAGGUGAACAGACUUACAGCUAAAAACCUUUAAAGCCAUCGGUUGUUUACAGGAAUUCCCGUGCACUUUAACCAAAGAACAAAAUUGACAGAUCUAGUAUUAACAGACCAAAGUUAAUUCCUCUAAUUUCUCCUGCAUUCUUUCAGCCAGUUUCCUCUAACUGAGGAAUUAAAGGUCAUGCACCACCUACCUCCUGUGCUACCCCAGCCGUGCUUUACCAGCAUCAGCCCCAGGCUCCUCGGUGGGGGAAGUGACCAGAUGUAGCACAGUCAGUGUCUCCAAGAGCCAGCAGCUCUUUAGCACCUUGAUAUGUCCUUCAAAAUGACACAUUAUGUUUUGCUCUUUUCAUGUGACAGAUCUGAUACAGCGCACAAACAAAAAGGGAAUAUUGCUGGGAAAUUCUGUGUCUCUCUAUUAGGUUUCAUGUUUGAAUUCCCAGUGAAUUUCAAAUGUCUGCCACUGAGCUCCACCAUCUCUCGGAACUGGUGGCAUCCCACAAUUCCUGUGCCUAUUUAUUUCCUAGCCUUCUCUGCUAUGGCAGAUCUCUGAAGGAACCUUUUUGUCACAAUCCCUUGAUCCUUCCAGCUCAUGCAUUUUAGCAGAGCCCAGUCACAUGAUCCCUUUGCCCUAUUCUGCAACCUUCAGGAGCAGGACCUGCCUCUUUCAAUCCCAGGUAUUUGGGCAAGGAGCAACUUAAGCCACACCAUUGUUUUCUCCACUGUGAGGGCUAAGGACUUUACUCCACAAAAUCAGGAGCAGCCAGGCAACUAACCUCGUUCCAUCACAGUGGUGGGGCACGUAGGAAGAGAAAAGUAAUAGCCUGACAGAUGUUAGCAGGUGGGAUUCUCCAUCUGAAUUGCCCUAAGGGGCUUCAGCAACUUCUUCCUAGGUCACAUACAUCACCGUGUCCUGCUUAGUGAUGCAAGGUAAUCUUGGUAACCCAAUAAACAGUUCAUGUAGAGAAAUCCUCUGUUCCUAUUCUGUCACCUAGCACCAAGUCUCUCCUUUAAUGGAUCUCAUAAGCAGAAGUGAAGAUCAUUUCAGUGAGCAGGGGUGAAAUGUGCUACAUCCUGGCAUCUGCCUUGAAGCCAUGUUCUGCUGUAGGCACAGACUUCGGGCAUCAGGGCAUUCCCUGCUCCAUCCUUCCAGCCAGCCAGGGCUAUGAGCAUGGACAAGGAGCAAUGGAAUCUAAGCAGAAGUUCUCGUCUCUGUGUCUGCUGGAACACAGGGAUUUUGCCACAAGUAUCUUUGGGACGUCAGCUGAACAAAGGGCUAGGCAGAUGCCUCCUCUUUGCCCCUACCCAGUCCUUUUGAGUAACACUGGUAUAGGUAGGGAAGUAAGAUAAACAUCAGUGAUUUCAACCAAUUAUGACCUGUAGAGGAAAAGAGCAUAUAGGUAAACACAAGCUUUGGUUGUAGUGAGAAGGUGGAUAUGGAAAGGAAAUAGCGAGAAAAGUCUAGGUUUAGAAAUGCUAGGUCUCCCCUGUCCAAUGCCCUGGCAAUUUUCUCCUUUCUUUUUUUUUUCAGAAUACAUUUAUAUAACAAAAAAAGAAUAGAAUUUGUCUCAGCUGUGUUCCCUCUCUAGUCAUAUGCCUCGCCAUAUCUAAAUAAAGUGGCAGCUGACAUUUUAGGUGUUCUUAGCCACAGGGUUUCCAGAAAGCAAAACAUUUUUUUUUCCAUUUUGUGUGUGUUUGUGUGCUAGUGUCCCUUUUGGAAAAACUGUGAAGGCACUACAGAAACAAACAAAACUGAGCAAAACAAACUGAACUUGAGAAUAACAGACCCAUGGCUGAGGGCAGCCUGUUUCCAAAGGGGAAUAUGUGAUCAGGGGCUCAAUGGUUUAUUUGCUGAGAAAGCAACCUCCUCAGUGUCCCUGCUAUAUCUAGGUUUCAUGAUAAAUGCAGUGCCUUACACUGUCCCAGCUUUUCUUUGUGACUUUGCUUGUGGUUUAGCUCAGAUGAAUUAUUCUUUAGAAUGGAGGUGCUGCAUUUCUUCUUUCAAGUGAAACUGUCAUAAGGAGAGGCUUUUGUGCCAAAGAAAAGGGCUGGAGCAUUCUUUCCUUUUCACACAUCUUCCUCUCUCUGGGACCAGAGCCCGCUCUCUGAUAAGGGUGAUACCAUUGGCACAGCUGCACCCCAGCCAGAUGAGCACGACACUUCAGCUGGCACCUCACUCAACACUUUUGCUGUGCCCGCAGGUGGAUGUUUUUCUCUGGUGGGGAAGCAGAGAACAGUUCGCCCACCAGUGGAGCGUCAGCUCCUCCAGGCUGCGCGGGCCUCAGCCCACCAGACAGCUCCCAGCCCUGCUCACAGCAGUGUCCAAGAUGUCACUUCCAGUAAUUGCAGUGGGUUUCAGAGUGAACCCUGCACCAGAUCAAGAUGGCCUCUGGUGUUCUUUUGACUCUGAACUGACUCAGAGCUGCUACUUAUAAUGUUCCAAACACUUAAAUCAGUGCAGCUUUGGUCUUUGAAAAAUUUGGAAGAUACUCAAGAAUGAGAUAAUCUUUCAUUCCACAGGUUUUCUCAGGAAUCUUGAGAAAGAAUCUUGAGUGUAUUCCCUUGCACUAAAAAGAAAAAAAAAAAGGGUAUCAGUCUGUCUGUAGGAUUUCCUUUGCUAAGUGAAUCUACAUGUGGGGCUUUAUAUCUUUGUCACUGACAAAAUACUCUUAUUCAUCAAAAAAGGAAAAUCCAAAAGCAAAGAGUAUUUUAAAAGUGAUUAAUGGACCAUUCAUUUGAUGUAAUGCCAAAAUCUAGAUUUCUCAGAACAAAAUCUGGUGGCAAAAAUAAAUCUUG